rnacentral:lncRNA from 1 species
GUGGCGUCAUGCUUUAAGUCUCCAGGCCUGAGAUAUUUUUAAAGCCAGCGUUACUGAGGUAUAGAAUUUGCACAAUAACAUGCAUCCCUUUUCUGUGUGCAGUGGCACGAGCGCUGGCCAACGUUUACACCCAGGCGUCCGCUGCCACCAUGUUCAGAUAUAGAACACUGACAUCACUCCACACUUCCUUGUGUUCACGGAUCUCCUUUCUGCCACUGAAGAUGUGAUUUGCCAUUUCUAGAGCUUCUGCUGUCUUUUCCAUGGAGUGUCUUCAUGUUCAGGUGGCUAUGGAGAGGCUGCUGCAGUUACCUCUCACAUCUACACAUGGUGACGACAAAGAUCAAGAGAGGGAGCUAGGAGGAAGGGCUAUGUCCUUGCUUUCUCUGUCUGUUCUCCAAACAGCAACCAAAGCAAUCCUGAGAAAGUUGAAAGCUUCUACUACUGGGGCCAUGUGUCUCCUGCCUUGUGUCCCCGUGUGCCCCCUGGACCUUGCUGUAGAGAAGACUCAAGUGAGAUUUCCUGUCUUCACAGACUCAGUAAACAUCUCACUCCUAGGCAGGACACUGGCUGAGCUGAUGAAACCUGUGGGUCCUCUGGGGCUGCCAGUGGAAGAAUUCAUGGACAGCCUGGCAAGUCUCCCCAGGAGUCUGGAAAUGUACAGAAGCAGAGAGACUGGAACCAGCUCCUGGCCAGACAUGCUGAAGGAAUUCUGUGUUAGGCACGAAAGCUAUAGAGAUUCUAUUGGCGUGAGGAUCUGGAGGAGUGGAAGGAGUGAUGACCAGGCCUUUGGGACUGAAGAGUCGUAUGGCCCUUUUUACUUCAUUCUUGGAAGCACUGUUAUUAACCACUGGAGCUGGAUAGAUACCAGGAGGGGGCCACCAGCAUGCCACUUCUGUCUACCUUGCCAGGGAGGCUGAACUGCAGUUAUGAACUCUCGAGACUGACCCCCGCCCCUGAUGGCAUGCAGUGUGCCCCACCAAGCAUUCCUCCACCUUCAACUGCAGACAGUGCUUUUCCUCAUUUACAUCUGGGAGGACCCAUGGCCCAACCCACUGAAAACAUAGCCUGUUGAUCAAUAGCCACAGCUGAGCAUCCACCAAGCAUCAGAUCUGGUGUCAGGUCCUGAGCCAGAGAGGAUGAAAAUGGUCUUUCAAAGAGCUGUCCUUGCAGCUCUGCAGCUGGUAGAAGGAAGCAGCCAUUCGCUCCCCUCUCUUCUUGUGGUACUAGUUCCUCCUCUCUUGGGCAAAUACUAUCUUUUCUGCCUCCCGCCGCAGACCACUCAGUUCUGGUGGAGCCGUUGCCUGCCUGGGCAUGCCAAGUAGAGUGCUUCCAUGGAGAAAUCUGAAUUGGAAAUAAGAGAAGAGCUUCAUCUUUAUUGUUUUCUGGCAGCAAACCUGAACUCAGAGCUUUUGUUCCAGUCUAGUAGGGAGAGCCAUGUGGGGAAAUGAGGCAGAGAGGCCAAAGGCAGAAGAGAGUCCAUGUUUACUGAUUAGUAAAUCAUUGUAAGAUGAUGCAGAAACCAGUUGUAUUAGUUUCCUAUUGCUGCU